rnacentral:rRNA from 1 species
UACGUAGGGGGCGAGCGUUGUCCGGAAUCAUUGGGCGUAAAGCGCGUGUAGGCGGCCCGGUAAGUCCGCUGUGAAAGUCGGGGGCUCAACCCUCGAAAGCCGGUGGAUACUGUCGGGCUCGAGUGCGGAAGAGGCGAGUGGAAUUCCUGGUGUAGCGGUGAAAUGCGCAGAUAUCAGGAGGAACACCGAUUGCGAAGGCAGCUCGCUGGGACGUUACUGACGCUGAGACGCGAAAGCGUGGGGAGCAAACAGG